rnacentral:misc_RNA from 1 species
GCAUCAUCCUUUUUGUGCUCAACGCCGGUUAUUUACCAUUUACCGAUGCAAAUCUAAUGGCGAUGUAUCGGAAAAUCUACAAAGGCGAAUUCCGUUGCCCUAAAUGGACCUCACACGGAUUGAAACUGUUGCUUACUCGACUCCUCGACACGAAUCCCGACACUCGAAUCUCCAUUGAACAAAUCAGAAACGAUCCGUGGUUUCGGAAAGGUUACAAAGAGGUGAAAUCGCAUUUCGGUGAUGAAUUUGAGUUGAAAAGUAGCUCCGAUUUGAAUCGCGACGGCAAGUUUCUAAAUGCAUUUCAUAUAAUCUCGUUAUCCUCAGGUGUUAAUCUGUCUGGAUUGUUGAAAUCUCUAGGAGGGAAAGAGACAGUGGAUGUUGAAAGAUUUGUUUCAGCAUCGUCAGCGGAGAGAAUAACACAGAGGAUUGAAGAGAUUGCAAAGGCUGAAGGGAUGAGAGUCACCGGUAAAAAUGGCGCCGGUGUAAGAGUUGAGGGGCAAAAUGGGAAAUUUGUUUUAGCGACAGAGAUUAACCGGUUAACGGAGAAAGUGGUAAUAGUAGAAGUUAAACGAAAGGAGAUAGGAGCUGGAGCUGAUGGAGAAAUAUGGAAACUCAAAUUCAAGCCGCAGUUAAGUGAAUUCUUUUUGUGAAUUCUUUCAUAGUUCGCGUUCUCUAUCGUAGAAUUCAGACAUUAUGCUAUUCGUUAUUUUCUAGAUAGCAUAAGAAACAGAGAUUUCGAAAUCUCUUGACCUGCAUUUUCUAGAUACAGGUUCACUUAUUCGGUGAGAAACGGAGAUGAUUCUAGUUAUUGAAUAGCUCGAGGAAUGUGGAUCGAAGUGAGAUGAUAUUCG